rnacentral:rRNA from 1 species
AGAGUUUGAUCAUGGCUCAGAACGAACGCUGGCGGCAGGCCUAACACAUGCAAGUCGAGCGAGGUAGCAAUACCUAGCGGCGGACGGGUGAGUAACGCGUGGGAACGUGCCCCUUGGUACGGAAUAGCCCCGGGAAACUGGGAGUAAUACCGUAUGAGCUCUACGGAGGAAAGAUUUAUCGCCAAGGGAUCGGCCCGCGUUGGAUUAGGUAGUUGGUAGGGUAAUGGCCUACCAAGCCGACGAUCCAUAGCUGGUUUGAGAGGAUGAUCAGCCACACUGGGACUGAGACACGGCCCAGACUCCUACGGGAGGCAGCAGUGGGGAAUCUUAGACAAUGGGCGCAAGCCUGAUCUAGCCAUGCCGCGUGAGCGAUGAAGGCCUUAGGGUUGUAAAGCUCUUUCAGCGAGGAAGAUAAUGACUGUACUCGCAGAAGAAGCCCCGGCUAACUCCGUGCCAGCAGCCGCGGUAAUACGGAGGGGGCUAGCGUUGUUCGGAAUUACUGGGCGUAAAGCGCACGUAGGCGGACUGGAAAGUCAGGGGUGAAAUCCCGGGGCUCAACCCCGGAACUGCCUUUGAAACUCCCAGUCUUGAGGUCGAGAGAGGUGAGUGGAAUUCCGAGUGUAGAGGUGAAAUUCGUAGAUAUUCGGAGGAACACCAGUGGCGAAGGCGGCUCACUGGCUCGAUACUGACGCUGAGGUGC